rnacentral:rRNA from 1 species
CCUACGGGGAGCAGCAGUGAGGAAUAUUGGACAAUGGGGGGAACCCUGAUCCAGCGACGCCGCGUGAGUGAAGAAGUAUUUCGGUAUGUAAAGCUCUGUCAGCAGGGAAGAAAGAAAUGACGGUACCUGACCAAGAAGCCCCGGCUAACUACGUGCCAGCAGCCGCGGGAAUACGUAGGGGGCAAGCGUUAUCCGGAUGUAUUGGGUUUAAAGGGUGCGUAGGCGGGAUGCCAAGUCAGCGGGAAAAAUGCGGUGCUCAACGCCGUCGAGCCGUUGAAACUGGCGUUCUUGAGUGGGCGAGAAGUAUGUGGAAUGCGUGGUGUAGCGGUGAAAUGCAUAGAUAUCACGCAGAACUCCGAUUGCGAAGGCAGCAUACCGGCGCCCUACUGACGCUGAGGCACGAAAGCGUGGGUAUCGAACAGGAUUAGAUACCCUUGUAGUC